rnacentral:rRNA from 1 species
CUUGGGUGACGAGUGGCGGACGGGUGAGUAAUGUCUGGGAAACUGCCCGAUGGAGGGGGAUAACUACUGGAAACGGUAGCUAAUACCGCAUAACGUCUACGGACCAAAGUGGGGGACCUUCGGGCCUCACACCAUCGGAUGUGCCCAGAUGGGAUUAGCUGGUAGGUGGGGUAACGGCUCACCUAGGCGACGAUCCCUAGCUGGUCUGAGAGGAUGACCAGCCACACUGGAACUGAGACACGGUCCAGACUCCUACGGGAGGCAGCAGUGGGGAAUAUUGCACAAUGGGCGCAAGCCUGAUGCAGCCAUGCCGCGUGUAUGAAGAAGGCCUUCGGGUUGUAAAGUACUUUCAGCGGGGAGGAAGGGUAAGAGGUUAAUAACCUUUUGCAUUGACGUUACCCGCAGAAGAAGCACCGGCUAACUCCGUGCCAGCAGCCGCGGUAAUACGGAGGGUGCAAGCGUUAAUCGGAAUUACUGGGCG